rnacentral:rRNA from 1 species
AGUGAAUGCUGGCGGUAGGCCUAACACAUGCAAGUCGAACGGCAGCACAGUAAGAGCUUGCUCUUACGGGUGGCGAGUGGCGGACGGGUGAGGAAUACAUCGGAAUCUACUUUUUCGUGGGGGAUAACGUAGGGAAACUUACGCUAAUACCGCAUACGACCUACGGGUGAAAGCAGGGGAUCUUCGGACCUUGCGCGAUUGAAUGAGCCGAUGUCGGAUUAGCUAGUUGGCGGGGUAAAGGCCCACCAAGGCGACGAUCCGUAGCUGGUCUGAGAGGAUGAUCAGCCACACUGGAACUGAGACACGGUCCAGACUCCUACGGGAGGCAGUAGUGGGGAAUAUUGGACAAUGGGCGCAAGCCUGAUCCAGCCAUACCGCGUGGGUGAAGAAGGCCUUCGGGUUGUAAAGCCCUUUUGGUGGGAAAGAAAAGCAGUAGGUUAAUACCCCGCUGUUCUGACGGUACCCAAAGAAUAAGCACCGGCUAACUUCGUG